ACGCAAUAGCUAAGUUGGUAGAAUAUUUGCUCGGUAAGCCAAAAAUCCGGUUCGAUUCCGGUUCGUG
rnacentral:tRNA from 1 species